rnacentral:lncRNA from 1 species
AGCUUCAACAAUAUCUGAACAAUCAGUCAAUCAUGAUCAAUGUGACAAUAAAGGAUGUUGCAGAGGUCGACAAUCUCACAGUUUUGGCAAACAAGUCCUUGGAUGGUGGUCGCACUCUGGAAAACCUUACAAGAUACGGAGAGUUGAAACACACUUCUAACAACUCUGUGUAUUAUCUUUUUACUUGGGUAAAUGACAGUGCAGAUAUUAACACAAAAGGGAAGAUGCAUUCUAUCAGUUCUACAGGUAAACACAGGCU